GGCUGUUUGUAAGAUAAGCUAGCCUAUGCUAAUAUUACAUCCUCUAUUAAGGUUAUAUGUAGAGUUUACAUUUGAAGUGACUGCUCACCUUUUUCAAAUGCCUUUUAAUCAUUUCUUUAUAUGAACAUUUUUCCUCAUUAACUUGCUUGUGUGAUCAAUUAUGUUGACAGAUUUCUUAAUAUUGAACCAGCCCUGUAUUCCUGGAAUAACCCUGCUUGGUUGUAAUGCAUUUUUCUUUUGUUAUUCUAAAGUACUCUAUUUCCCAUAAUUUUAUUCAGAAUUUUUUGCACUGAUAAUCUUAAGUCAGGUCAUUCUAUUUUUUUUAACUGUACUUUUUUUAAAAAUCAGGUAUUCAUAUUAAGAUUUUGCUGGCUUUAUACAGUCAAAUGUGUAGCUUUCAGUUUUUUUCCAUGGUUUAUUUAGAAUAAUUUUUAAAACUUUGAGCUAUCUGGUCCUGAUAUAUGAAAAGAACUUUUAAAUUAUCCCCUUAUCCUUACAGUUAUACUCAGUUUCUCUGUAACUUAAAUGUAUUAUUUAGUUUUUCUAACUUUUAACCUUUAUAAUAACAAAAUCAUAAAGUAUAUUCAUCUGUGACUUCCAAUUUUUACUCAGCAGUGUUUUUGGAAUGCAUCCAUGUUGAUAUGCAGUUGAUUCAUUUUUAUUGCUGUAUAAUACUUUAUUGUGUAAACACCCUCAUUUUAAAAAACCCACUCUACUGGGUUAAUUAAAUUGUUUCCAGUUUUUGCUAAUAUAGAUAGUGGUAAUAUAAUUUUUUGUGCAUGUCUGCUGGUGCAAGAGUUUUUCUACCAGGAGUGGAAUUGCUACGUUGUAGAGUAUACUCACAGCUACUGGAUAUUACCAAAAUGUUAGCCACACUAAUUGAAGUAAUUUACACUCCAACAAAUAAACUUCCCAUUUCUCCACAUUUUUACCAGUAUUUGGGCUGAAUCAACUUUUGCAUUUUUCUCAAUCUGUUGGAUACAAAAUUGUAUCUCAUUGUGGUUAUAAUUUUCAUUCUCAUAUCUACUUUUGAAAUUGUAUGGUCACUAUAUUGGCUAAUUCAUGUUUUCUUUCCUAUGAAAUGCCUGUUCAUAUCUUCUGUUCCUUUGUCUAUUAGUUUGUGUUUUUUAAAAUUGAUCAAUAGGUCAGCUAUAGGUUUUUGAUACAGAAACAUUUUUAAAUUAACUAUGAUCAAAUCUAUUAACAUUUUCCUUCAGAAGUUUUCAAAGAUUUACCUUUCAUGUUUAUGCCCCUAAUGUAACUAUAAUUGUAUAUAUACACACAGAAAUAUACACACAUAUACUGGCUGAUGUAGGGAUCCAGGUUCUUUCAUUUUCCCCAUGUGGAUUAUCCAGCUCUUUUCAUGCUGAGAAAUCAUCAUUUUCUCCGCUCACUUGCAAGGCCAGCUUUGCUGAAUACUCUGGGUUCUCUCUUCUGCCCCGUUGGUCAAUCUGUCUAUCUCUGUACAAGUUCUAUGUUAUCCUAAUGUAACUAUAGGUUUAUGACAUCUCUUAGUAUAUGAUAGGACAGGACUUUCUACUUCCUUCUUUAGAAGUAACUUGGCUAUCUUUGGCAUGUUGCUCUUUUAUUUGAGUUAGCUCAAGAGGUUAUUUGGAUUUUUAUUGAAUAUAGAGUUUAGGGAAGAUUGACAACUUUAAGACAGAACUUCUCCACUCACUUUCUAUAUUAUUUCUUAACCCCAUAAUUAAAACAUUAUUAUUGUUGUUUUAUAGUCAGUGAUUGUUUAGACUUACCGUGUGUUUAUCAUUUUCUUUGCUGUUCUGGAUCUCUGACCUUCUUUCUGGGAUGAGUUUUCCUCAUCCUAAAGUAUACCUGUGGAAGUUUCUCUAAUAAGUGAUAGUAAGCUCUCAUUUUGUUGUUUGUCAGAUAAUAUUUAUUUUGCCCUCAUUCUUGAAAGAUAGUUUCGCUGGGUAUAGAAAUUUAGGUUGUCCACUAUUUUCUCUGCAUUUUGAAGAUACUGUUCCACUGCUUUCUGGAAUUGUGUUGCUUUUGAUAAGUACAGCCAAAGUCUCUUGUUCCUCUGUGAAUAAUCUGUAUUUUUCUCUCUGACUGCUUUUAAGAUUUUCUCUUUGUCUACAUUUGACUACAGUGUGUCUUGGUGUAAAGGCCUUUUUAUAUAUCCUGCCUUGAAUUUGUUGGGCCUAUUUCCAUGAUGAAACAGGAGGAACACUCUUUAAAAAGUCGUAUUUACCCUUGUCUUUCCUUCCUCCCUCCGCCACCAUCUCCUUUGAAUGCAGUUAUGAGAUCUGGAGCUGUGAGAAUCAUCUUGAAAUCGUGAGGUUACAAGCACAAGAAUGGAGAAAUAGAAGGGAAGGAAUCCAUGUCCUUGAUAACCUCUCUGGACUUCAUGCUAUAAGAAGAAAAUAAUUGCUUUUUUUUUUUUUUUGCUUAAUGUAUACUCUUUAUUCAGGUAUUCUGUUAUAUCCAGAAAUAAUCUUAAUCAAAACAUGAUCCUUUAUUUCUCCUGUGAAGUGCAACAAACAUUGUAACAGACCCUGGAAGAACUCUACUCAGAGGGAGUCGUGAUAAACCAGAGCGUCAGCCCUUUCCGCUCGGACACCAAUAAGUCUUGCACUUCAAAAUUGCUGACCUAAAAAGGAUACUUGAGAAGGAGCAUGUCUUUUUUUUUUUUCUCAAAGAAAGCAACACCAGAAGCAGUCUGACUUCCUUGUUCACUUCGAUGCAUGCAAAAAAGAAAAGCAGCAUUAAAAGCAACACAACGUGAGAGGUGCGACGCGCUGGGAAGCAGUUGCCUUCCCUGAUGGAUACAGAAGCCCGCGCAGUUAGUUCCUGCUCAGUGCUGCACUUUGAUUGGAUCUUGCCCAUACACAGAAGUAAAGGGAAGCCCAAAGUAUUGCCUCUUUCUCUCAUCAUUUUAAAAAAGAUUGAAAGACAUACUCCCCCAAAUGCCAAUGGCUUGAUUCAUGUACUGUCUUCAAUCACAUCUCAGCAUUCCAUUCUAAACAUGAAAUAUGUAUUUUUAGUGUCCCUAAGUAAAUGUUCCAGCGCUCCAACUAUGAGGGGUGGGAAUCCUUUAUCUCGGUGGGGGUUGGACAGUGAAGACUUCUCCCACCCUUCUUCAAAUAGCCACCGAAUCCCUUAAAGUGAAAGUACUGUUACUUGUCUCUAGCAAAUAAAACAAACAACAACCCUUUGAUCUUUAGGAAGCCCUUUCUUGUUAAGGUAACAUUCUGCCUGACUUUUAUGUUUCAGCAUUCAUUGUAUAUUUAAUUAUUUGUAAAAGUUUUGUUUUAAACGAUUAUACUUUUUCAUAACUUAAGAUAAACAUAGGCCUGCUUUGUUAAAGAUUAAAAAUAAAUCUCACACGAAGCUGCAAAACGUGGCAAACAUAAUACCACAUGGGGUCGGUAUGUUCCAAAACACGGUUCUCCAGGGGCCCCUCCAAACACACUGCUUCAUUAGGAGUCUUGUUCUGAAAAGUGUCAGGAAGCCCCUGACUCUCACCCGCCCUUUCCUGAAACUGGUGAAAGUAUGAAAAAAAGAAAAUUGCCACUGAAGUGAAAAAAGGAGAAUCUCAACAUAUCUGGGAGGCAUGUUUUGUCUUUUUUUUAGAUUGCUACUAUGCUCAAAAAUACCUUGAUGCUAAUCUUGUAAUAGCUUUCAGACAGGGAACGCACUGGGAUAGCGAUUAUAAACACAAGGUUGUUGACAGUGUUCAAUAGGUAUGUUAUCGAAUGACUGCUGUUAAUUCAGCUGGAGAAUAAUUCCUAGAUCUUAUUACAUGGAAAACAUCAUCUCAUUCCAACCUAUUCAAAUUUGACUGUAACUUUAUGAAUAAGGGUUCCCUUUUGGAAAUAUCCAAAUAGAGCUAAAAAAAUAAAAAACAAAAAACAGGUGUUCCUUGGCGGCUCACUAUUCAGGCUUAUUCCCCAGAAUCUUUGAGUGUUCACUAACUCUUCCAUUUUAUUCUUUCUUUUGAUUCCAAUACAUUUCCUCUUUCUGCGGUCGGGAGAGUCGACUCCUCGUGGAUUUGGGGCCAGGAGGUCUGAAAUACUAAUGCAGUUCUUGAAGCAGACGGUAGGUGGAGUUGAAAAGCCAUACCUCUCAGCCAGUCCUUUCUGGAAGACCCUAAUCAGAAGUGUGAGAAGACUGAUGUAAUGGGACACAGGAGAAAAUGCUGCCCGGAGAGGGGAGAGAAAGAGCGAGAGAGACAGGAACCAGAAAACGAGGGUGUCUUCUCCUCCCUCAGACACCCACGUUGGUGACUA